rnacentral:lncRNA from 1 species
CUUUUUGUAAUUAUUGGUUGAUUUUACUUUCUAAUUAAUUACCAUGGGUCACCUAUCAAUUAAAGUGGGAUUCACUUUUGAAUAUAUGUCAAAAUUUUAUGAUAUAUUAUUGCCAAAAAAUAUAUUUAAAGAAUUAAUAUGGUUCAAUUUAUGAAUUGUUAUGGCCUUAUUAUAAAUUAAAGUGAGGCCCACAUAUUAAUUGAAGUGGAAUCCGCUAAUGAACAAUUAUUAAAAAUUUAUAAUAUUUUGUGGCAAAAAAAGUUAGUUAUGAAUCAUAUUGGCGUUAGUUAUGAAUUAUAAUGGCUCUUAUUUUGAAUUAUGGUGGGGUUUGCAUAUUAAUUAUAAUAGUGGGAUCCAGCUAAGCAUGUCUUUUUAUUGAUUUUAUAAAUUUUUGUGGCUACUAAUAAACUUUUAUGAAUAAUUUUGAUAAAAUUUAUAAAUUUAUGUGGCCAUUGUUACACGAGUCGUGGUUAACCACAAACUUUUUUGAUGAAUUGGCUCGUUUUUUAUGAAUUUUUAUAGUUAGUUUAAGAAGUUCUUUAGCUCACGUCCGGACAAUAUUACAAAAAUUUGUGGAUUGAUCAUAUAAUUUUUAUAUGAAUUUAUGAGAAUUUGUAACUAUUUUUGGUUGACGUACUAAUUAACUGUUUCUAUUAGUCAAAAUUGAUGACAUGUGCAUUAUUGGCUACACAUUAGGUGUAAAUGGUUUGUUGUUAUUUUUUUGGUGUGUAUGCUAGCUUUUACCAUCUUGCAAUUGGUCUUUUAUGUGUAUCAAAUAUUAAUUAUGAAGAAUUAGUGUUAGAUUCCAUUAAUUUUAGUUAUUUCUAAAUACAAUAUUCAUCUACAUAAUUAAAAAAUAUAUAUAAUAUAUUUUUCUGUGUCCAUUGUCCAUGUUAUAUCUUUGUUUUGAUUUUUUUGAGAGUUGCCGUAUUCCAUGUAGCUAUCGAUGUCAAUGUCAGUAUAUAUUUUUGUGUAUGAGUCCGUACUUCUUAAUUUUUUAAUUUCCUCCACAAAAUCCUUAAUUCAAACAUAGCCUAAAUGUCAAUGAAAUUCUUUCUCUGAAAAAAAAAAGAAGCUAUCCUAAAUGAAUCUCUCAAGCUGGACUUGCGCUGAAAUAUUUCAGCCCAACACUGGACUGGGAUGGGUUGAGCAAGCCCUGAAAGCCCCUGAUUGAGCUUGCAGCCCUAGGUCCAAUCAGUGAACUUGCAGCCCUGGUCAACAAGUGCACAAAGCACGACCCCUGUAUAAAAGAGGUUAGACUUCGGAGUAUGCCCGAGGAAAAUGCAUAUAAUUAUAAUGGACUUCACUUCUCUGCAAUCAAAAAAUGAAUUAUCUAUAAUUAUAAAUCAUGACUUAGUUUUGAUCUAAAAUCUAUCUCUCCUAUCUACGGUUCAAAUUCAUUUAAAAAAUUGAUCCACGGCUCAAGACAAUUUCACACUAAGAAUUAUUUUUUCCCGCUAAAACUCUCACUUUUCACUCUCUUUCACUCUCUCCUUCCUCCUAAUCACUUUCACUUUCUCUCCCAAUCAUAAUUCUCGACUCCUCUCCUCCAGCACUUUCACAUUCAACAUUUUUACUUUUUUUUAUUACUCAUUUAUUCUUUUUUUUUUUUUACUUUCACCUUCGAAUUUUUAUAUAAUUUUUUUUAUAUAUAAAAUUUUAUAACUUCAUUAUUUUUUUCUUUAAUACCCCUUAAUUCUUUUGUUUUUCGUUUUACUUUAACUUCCAAAUUUUUAUAUUAAAAAAAUAAUUUUAUAAUUUCUUUUACUCUCACCUUAUGUGUUUUAUAAAAGCAAAAAAUAUGAAUCAAGAUUUUUAAUAUUUUUUUAAAUUUCUGUGGGUUGAUAGUUAUAUAUUAUUUGUUAUUUGAGUCUUUUUUUAAUACCCCUUUAUUUAUUUAUUUUUUUAAUUUUAUUUUUAAAUUUUUAUAUAAAACAAUAUAUAAUUUCUUUUGGAGGAGAUAUUGAUUAAAAGUUAUGUUCUUAAUGUUUAACUACUGUAUUGAAGGGGAGGGAGGGGGGGCAGGAAGGUGAGAAUAGUGGUUGGAGAGGGGAAGAAGACGAAGCAAGGUGGCGUUCUCCUUUCCUAUCUUCCUUUUUUUUUCCUUUUUUCUCUUCUCCCUCAAUUACUAAAAAAAAAAUACAUUAUUAAUUUUUCAAAAAUAUUCAAAUAACAAACUGACUAUAACUAUCAACCCAUCAAAUUUAAAAAAAAAUUAUUAACAUUUUGAUUCAUAUUUUUUUUUCUUUUAAUAAAACAUAUAAGGUGGGAGUAAAAAGUUAUAAAUUUUAUCAUAUUUUUUUAUAUAUAAAAAUUAGAAAUAAAGUAAAAAAAAAAUCAAGGGUUAUUAAAAAAAAGGAAAAAUACAGGAGUUAUAAAAUUUUAAGUCAUAUUUUUUUUAUUGAAAAACUUCGGAAAUGAAAGUAAAAAAAAACAGAAUCAGAGGUAUUUAAAAAUGAGUAUUAAAAAAAGAAUAAAAAGGUUGAAUGACAAAAUUAUACUUUGAGGAAGAAUUUAGGGUAAAAAGUGAAAGUCAAAAAAAAAAAAAUAUCACUCGAGGGGUUGGGGUUGUCAGGGUGAAAAAAAACAAGAUCUCUUAUUAAGUUUAGGAGAUUAGUUAGUUACAUUAGAUUAGCAUUAGUUAGUUUGACAGAUUAGUUAGUUUUGAGCAAGUUAUGAGAGUGUACCUUAUUUGUGAUUAUUUUUUAUUUUUAUUUGUUCUUCUGCGAUGAAAAAUCAUCAAAAUUGAUAAAAAAAGAUUUUUAUUUUAUUUUUGCGUAGUGUCCAUGGGCACGGGCAAUUACUAGUACUGGUACAAUUUAAGUAUUUUAGUCUUAUUUUGACGAUUCAAAUUGUACAUGUAGAUUUUGUCGUAAAAAUAAGUAUUGUAAAAAUUUAAGUUGAUCAAACACAAUUUAGUAUCCGUUUAGGGCUGUUUUAUAACUUAAUAAAUUAGUGUGACACAAGAUUAUACUUAUUUAUUUUAAUAUAAAAUAAUAUAGAUCGACUAUUGAUUCUAUAUCGAUCAUGUAUGUUUUGAUGAUAUUAAAUUCUUCAUGAGUUUACAAUAUGAAUGGUUUGAAGCCAAACAACUCAUAUGAUCCACUUUCUCAAGGAAUACAUAGACGUCUUCGCUUGGAGUUAUGAUUAAAAGACUAACUUGCUAAGCUUUGAAUCAUCAAAAUAGACUCAAAACGGUGCCCAAAAUACUUGGACAGUGCAUCAUUUUUUGGAUUGGAAAGCGUGGUUCAUUAUAAUAUAUCAUUACCAAAAAGGCGAGUUCAAAACAAAUAUGAUAGUACAUAAUUAAUAAAGAGCAUUGCUACGGUUCUAAAAUUUGAACCAAGUGUUCUGAAUCACUCAUUUUGAAUUUGAAUAGUAGUGUUUCUCAACUAAGAAAAGAAAAAUGAUUGGCAACAUCAAAAUCUCAUUUAUUUCUCUCUCUCUCUAAUAACAUCUCUGCAAUGGCUAAUAGCCUAAUUGAGUGGCUGUGAUUACCUGAUUGAAAAGUAUAUGUAAGAAGUCCCGAGAACAAAGAUAUGCACACACAAUUUAAGCACCACAUCGUGGGCUGGUAUGCAAUAUACAUAUUUCCCCUUACAAUUACACAAAUUUUAAGAGCUUUAAAUUGUUAAAAAAACUAUUUUAAAACUAUUUUUGAGGGGCAUUUAUCAGAUAGAAAUAAGAAUAAACAGGCUUACUGAAUAAUAUCUAAAUAAGUUCAGUAUUAGAUUAUGUGGAGGUUUUGUGAGCCUACCAGACUCGGUGGUACCAAAGUAAUAUGGUCAAGAGACAAUUUCUUUUAGUUUUUUAUUUGUGAAUCAUGAAAAUGAUUUCCUAAAACUACUUAUACCAGAUUUGACACCAACUUCUACUAAAUUCCAUCGAAAAUUUUCCAUGACAUUGAUAAUGAAUAAAUCUAUAAAAAAAUUGAUCCAUGCAAUCUAUUCUUGAAAAUAUCCGACUCUCAAACCUGUUCAAUCAGCAAUCCUUUCGCGUAGACGCAUAUCAAGUUACAACUUACAACCAUCUGUUUAUUAAGAGAUACAUAUCUUGGCACGAGUUACAAAUCGAUUAACACUAAGAAGAACAGAGCAGGAAUAGUCUCAAACCAUCCAAAGGGGUUCUAUUCUUUCAUGUACAUAAAAACAAUCUGCAUGCCUUUCAAUUACCAACAAGCAUGAAUAGCAAAUUCUAGUCAAGUUCUUCAGGACAUCAUAAUCCCCAUUUCCCAAUUACCCAACAGGAGGAAAUGGAACAUUACUUUAAGUCGGUUUAAUACCAAGCUCCAACGUCAUGUUAUCUCAAUAGACUUCGACAUGCCUUGUUUUGUUCUUUUUAAGUUAAGAGGCUUCGCGUCCAGCUCUCCCCCCUCUGCUGCUCCGCAACCCGCUUCAGCGUAUCUUGUGGAUCGCCAUGCAUCAAUCAUCCCUUUAAGCCCACAGAAGUAAAUGUGUGCCCCGCCUUCCAAAGAGCCUUGAAUAAUAUCUCAAUCAUGUAUUCUUCGAUCUUAUCCUGAACGUAAUUUUGCCUCCACUCUGGUUCUUUUUGUUCUCGGGGCUCAGAGCACGGUUCGAUACCUGAAUUUUCAGGUAGUCUUGCAAGAUACUGGUUCUUCCUCAUACAUAGACUGUCUGUUGCCACCGGCACCCAGAAUAGCCAGGCCAGACCACCGAAUCUGAUGUAGGGACAGAU